rnacentral:tRNA from 1 species
GGUAAAAUGACUGAUUUAAGGUGAUAAAUUGUAAAUUUAUUUAUGGGAAAUUAUUCCCUUUUACUA